rnacentral:rRNA from 1 species
AACGAACGCUGGCGGCGUGCUUAACACAUGCAAGUCAAGGAGAAAGUCUCUUCGGGGGCGAGUAAACUGGCGCACGGGUGAGUAACGCGUGAGGAACCUGCCCAUAUGUCUGGGAUAACCUGCUGAAAAGCGGGCUAAUACUGGAUAUAUUGUUUACCGCAUGGUGGACAAGGAAAGUUGGCGUAAGCUAACGCAUAUGGAUGGUCUCGCGUCUGAAUAGCUAGUUGGUGGGGUAAAGGCUCACCAAGGCUACGAUCAGUAGCCGGUCUGAGAGGGUGGCCGACCACACUGGGACUGAGACACGGCCCAGACUCCUACGGGAGGCAGCAGUGGGGAAUUUUGCACAAUGGGGGCAACCCUGAUGCAGCGACGCCGCGUGAACGAGGAAGGCCUUCGGGUCGUAAAGUUCUUUCGACGGGGAAGAAAUGUUAUACGAGUAACUGCGUAUAAUUUGACGGUACCUGUAGAAGCAGCCCCGGCUAACUCCGUG